rnacentral:rRNA from 1 species
UGGCGGCAUGCCUUACACAUGCAAGUCGAACGGUACGUUUCGGACGCUGACGAGUGGCGAACGGGUGGUAAUACAUCGGAACGUGCCCAGUCGUGGGGGAAACUACUGAAAGAGUAGCUAAUACCGCAUACGAUCUGAGGAUGAAAGCGGGGGACCUUCGGGCCUCGCGCGAUUGGAGCGGCCGAUGGCAGAUUAGGUAGUUGGUGGGAUAAAAGCUUACCAAGCCGACGAUCUGUAGCUGGUCUGAGAGGACGACCAGCCACACUGGGACUGAGACACGGCCCAGACUCCUACGGGAGGCAGCAGUGGGGAAUUUUGGACAAUGGGCGAAAGCCUGAUCCAGCAAUGCCGCGUGCAGGAUGAAGGCCUUCGGGUUGUAAACUGCUUUUGUACGGAACGAAAAAGCUUCUCCUAAUACGAGAGGCCCAUGACGGUACCGUAAGAAUAAGCACCGGCUAACUACGUGCCAGCAGCCGCGGUAAUACGUAGGGUGCGAGCGUUAAUCGGAAUUACUGGGCGUAAAGCGUGCGCAGGCGGUUAUGUAAGACAGAUGUGAAAUCCCCGGACUCAACCUGGGAACUGCAUUUGUGACUGCAUGGCUAGAGUACGGUAGAGGGGGAUGGAAUUCCGCGUGUAGCAGUGAAAUGCGUAGAUAUGCGGAGGAACACCGAUGGCGAAGGCAAUCCCCUGGACCUGUACUGACGCCAUGCACGAAAGCGUGGGGAGCACAACAGGAGUUAGAUACCCUGGUAGUCCACGCCCUAAACGAUGUCAACUGGUUGUUGGGAAUUAGUUUUCUCAGUAACGAAGCUAACGCUGAGUUGACCGCCUGGGGAGUACGGCCGCAAGGUUGAAAUCUACAAGAUGAAGUUGA